rnacentral:tRNA from 1 species
GCGCCGUUAGCUGAGUAGGGAUAGCACCGGAUUCUUAAUCCGGGGACGGGGGAUCGAAACCUCCACGGCGCAC